rnacentral:rRNA from 1 species
AGACAGAGGGUGCGAACGUUGUUCGGAAUUACUGGGCGUAAAGCGCGUGUAGGCGGCUAUGCAAGUCGGGUGUGAAAGCCCUGGGCUUAACCGAGGAAGUGCACUCGAAACUGCAUAGCUAGAGUCCCGGAGAGGAUGGUGGAAUUCUCGGUGUAGAGGUGAAAUUCGUAGAUAUCGAGGGGAACACCGGUGGCGAAGGCGGCCAUCUGGACGGGUACUGACGCUGAGACGCGAAAGCGUGGGUAGCAAACAGGAUUAGAAACCCCGGUAGUCC